UCUCUCUCCUCUCUCUCUCUCUCUCUCUCUCUCUCUCUCUCUCUCUCUCUCUCUCUCUCUCUCUCUCUCUCUCUCUGCAGUUACGACAUCUCUGCAAUUGGCAAAGGAAAACAAGCUGUUAAAUCGUAAGCUACUGUGUGAAUGUGUUUAAUAAAACCGUAGUAUGCUUUAUGUGUCUGAUCUCGGUUCUACCUAAAUACAUUAUUAUGCGUACAAGUGCUCUGAUGGAUCAACAUUUUUUGCAGGGAAAUUAAGAAGAUGAAAUGAUAUGAGAUAGCAUGCAAAAAAGGUGUUAUUGAAGUGGGGGAAAUGGAGUAGUGCAUGGUUCUCAUAUACCCGACUUAUGUAGUAAACUAUUGUGGUUCUCUUGAAGAUUGGUGAUUUAUGACGAAUCUUGAUAUCUUCAGAGUGAAACAGAGCGAGGAGAAGCUAUAAGAUGCGAGGAGCACAUCAGAUAUGAAUCAUGCAAGGUUGAAAGAAUCGGUGGCAGAGGAAGAAAAUGAUAUAGAGAAUGGAGCAGAUUAAAGUGUUCAAGAAAGUGAGAAAAAAUAUAAGAACAUCGAGAAAAGGCUUACCAAACAUGGUCAUGGUCAUUACCACGAUCAUAUCAAACCCAUUGAACCUCAGCCAAUUACGAGAUACCUUUUAUGGACAUGAGUUGAUGGAUACUUCGGAGUUAAUGAUAUGUUCCCUCUUAUGUCUUUUGCCAAAUCUUUCGAGUACCACGUUUUUAUGUAAGAAGAUUUAAUCUUUUUCCCAAUUAUUUCUUUGUUUUGUAACCAGGAAGCUCAUAUCCAAGUGUUCAAGUUUGAAAGAAGAGUAGACCUAGGUAUCUCAUGUUUUAAUACAUCAAUGUCAUAGGAAUGUCUGCUUAAAAUGUACGAAUUUGGUCAGUGCUUUGAAAUAGAAGCAAGAGAAGUAAGGGCAAAUCAAGACCUAAUGUCACACCUGAAAUCAAAAUUGCUGUAAGAUAUUAUUUAACUUAAUGUAGGAGCUUCUUUCAAUAGUAAUUUUUGAACGCUUUAUGAGCCGUUCAUUGAUAAUUUAUCAUAAUAUACGUGUUAGCCAACAUCUUUGUGUAUGUGCUCCAGACCAGCGUGUUGCUAUAAUUGGCUCUUUUUCUUGAAUCAACAUGAUAGGAGAAACAAGUGUAAUCAAGUCCUGUUAUUAGCAUAUCCGAGUUUUGGCUUAGUGUUUGUACAUUCUGCAGUAUUUUAUUGUUUUUGUAUUAACUCAUGUACACUAUAUGAUAUAUCUAAAUUGAAUAAGUUCUCUGCCGAAGAAACAACAAACAAUAUAUGAUUGUUUUAAUCAAGAUAAUGACAAAUGGUCUUCGGUUUGCAAUACACAAUGAACCAAUGGUUAUACUUAUAAUCAUCUUGCCUUUUUUCAUAAGUAAUGAACACAAAUUAUUCUUGACUAGCCCUACAAUCAAGAGUUCUAUCAUCAAUUUUUUCAGCAAGAAGAUGAAUUUCCAACCCAAAGAAAAGGGAAAAUGUUCCAAAGAUAGAGAAUCUAAGGAUCACAGAAAAGAUACAUCAAAAAGAUGGAAAAGCAAAUAAAAGCAAAAGAGUAAUGUUAGUUUUGAAGUACGAAAUAACUUAAUUGGAAUAUGAACUAGAUUUGAUGGACGAAUGAAAAUGGUGAUUUAUCCAUCCAGCUACCUGUUGGGAUAAGCUUGAAUCAAAAGAUAGCUUGAGAUGCAAGCAAAGAUCUAAUCCUAUUGUGUUUGAGAUUUAUAAUAUAUGUAGGAAUUAUCUAAGAUAUGUUAUCUAAUAGGAUUAGGAGUUUAUAAUCUCUAUAUAAGAAUAUGUCAAAGUGUGGUAUAACUAAUGGGAUUUAGAGAUUGAGAGCUUAAGUUUUUGAGUGAGUUUUCUUAAGCAUUAAUAAAGAGAGUUAGUCUAUAUACAAUCUUUGCAUUCUAUAUUUGGUAUCAGAGCUAAGAAGAAGAAGAGAUGCGUGGAGAAAUUGUUGCUGCGACAGCAACAUCAAAACCGAGAAAGAAGGGGGAUCCUCUUCUAUACGAUGUCCAAUGCUUACUGCAACCAAUUAUUCGGUAUGGGCGAUCAGAAUGAAAAUCGCACUUAAAGUACACAAGGUUUGGGAAGCGAUCGAAGAAGAAGUAACCGAAGGAGAGAAGAAUGACAUGGCGAUGGCGUUAUUGUUUCAAUCCAUACCAGAAGUCUUAAUUCUCCAAGUUGGCGAACUAAGCACCGCCAAGAAAGUAUGGGAAGCAAUCAAAACUCGACAUGUAGGAGCUGAAAGAGUUAAAGAGGCAAGGUUACAAACAUUGAUGGCUGAUUUUGAUCGCUUGAGGAUGAAAGAAACAGAGUCAGUCGAUGAGUUUGGAGGAAAAUUGUCCGAGAUCGUGUCAAAAUCUGCAGCUCUAGGAGUCAGCAUAGAAGAACAAAAGUUAGUCAAGAAAUUUCUAACCAGUCUACCACGGAGGAAGUAUAUUCAUAUUGUGGCUUCUCUUGAGCAAGUACUAGAUCUAAAUAAUACAAGCUUUGAAGACAUCAUGGACCGUAUGAAAGCUUAUGAAAGUGAAGAAGAGGAACUACAAAAGGAGCAAAACAAACUGAUGUAUGCGAACUCCGAGCUACAAGCUACGCAGUCUAACCAAGAUUACAACAUAGACAAUCGAUACUAUCGUGGCAGAGGCAGAGGAAGGUCAUACUACAGAGGCCGUGGACGAUGACGUUACAUUGGAGACAGAGAUGCAUCAAAAGUUACAUGCUAUCGGUGUGACAAACUAGGACACUACGUUACUGAUUGUCCUGACCGUAUCCUUAAGUUGCAGGAGGCUCAGGAGACCGACAAUAGCGACACUCAGGACGCAGAUGAGUUGAUGAUGCAUGAGGUUGUCUAUCUCAAUGACCAGAACUGUGUCCCCGAGAAGGAUGAAACAUGUAUGGAUGCAGAAGACAUAUGGUACUUAGACAAUGGAGCCAGCAAUCACAUGACAGGAGAUCAAAGGUACUUCUCAGAGAUAGACAAACUUGUCAUGGGAAAAGUAAGGUUCGGUGACGAUUCCAGAAUUGAUAUUAAAGGAAAGGGGACUAUCUCCUUCAUAGAUAUGAAUGGGGAAGCAAGGAAGAUGAAUGAUGUGUAUUUCAUACCUGAUUUGAGGAGAAAUAUAAUCAGUCUCGGUCAAGCAACGGAGUCGGGAUGUGAUAUAAGACUGAGAGGAAACCAUCUCACGAUGCAUGACAAACAUGGAAAGCUCCUUAUCCAAGCCAACAAAUCGAAGAAUCGGCUCUACAAGGUCGUAUGGGAAUCAAAGACUCAACGCAGCUAUGUUUAAGUGAGAUCAGUGAGUCAAAUAGGUGGUAUGCGAGACUUGGCCACGUCAACACCGCUACGAUGAAAAGGAUGAUACAAAAGGAACUCGUCGGCGGUAUUCAUGGCGUCAAUUUCAAGAAAGAGUUGUGUUCUUCAUGCUUACUUGGGAAACAAGCAAGAAAGGUGUUUCCACAAGCAACAAUGUACAGAGCAACAAGACCACUUGAGCUCCUACACGGAGAUUGUUGUGGCCCUAUUACGCCGAGUACAAUGGCUGGAAAUAAAUAUAUAUUUGUGAUCAUUGAUGACCAUACAAGAUACAUGUGGAAUAUUCUCCUUAAACAGAAAAGUGAAUUUUUUGGGAAGUUUAAAAAGCUGACGGGUCUGAUAGAACAAGAACUUAGAGAGAACAUAGAAACCUUCAGAACCGAUCGAGGGGGUGAAUUCGUUUCACAUGAGUUCAAUUCAUACUGCGAGGAAGAAGGCAUCAUGAGACAUCUCACUGCUCCGUACACUUUCCAGCAGAACGGAGUAGUUAAGAGACGUAACAGGACAUCAAUGGAGAUGGCCAGGAGCAUCUUGAAGCAUAUGCAUAUACCGAAUCAUUUGUGGGGUGAGGCAAUCCGACAUGCAACCUAUUUAAUCAAUAGAAUAGCAACAAGGUCGUUACAAGAUCAGACGCCUUAUGAAGUCUUAAGGAAAAAAAAAACCAAAUUUGAAUCAUUUAUGUAUCUUUGGUUGACUUGGCUAUGAAAAGAUUGAGAAGGCUCAGCUAAGGAAACUAGAUGAUAGAUCGAGAAGGCUUGUUCAUCUUAGAACCUAGCCUGGCUCAAAGGCCUACAGGCUACUUGAUCCUGAGACUAAGAAAAUUAUGGUCAGUCAUGACGUGGUGUUUGAUGAGACUAAAGGUUGGAAUUGGAAAAGAAGUGAUUCAGAGCAAAAGAGUUAUAAUGACUUCGUUGUUGAACUCGGUGAGUUUGGAAAUCACAAAAUAUCGGAGCCGGCAACUGAAGCUAAACCAUCUGAUCAACCACGAGGGUUAGAACAAACGGGAGACAACCGUGAGAAUGAAGAAACAGGUGAAACAGAAAAGGAUAUAAUAAAAAUAGAAGAUGAUAAAAGCGAAGGUGGUGGAGAAAGCGAAGUUGGUGGUGAAAACAGAGUAUUGAGAAGAAGUGAAAGACAAACUUCGCGACCAAAAUACCUUGAUGACUAUGUCUUAUUGGCCGAAGAAGAAGGAGAGAUGUUGUUGCUGUGUCUGAAUGGUGAACCAAGAACUUUCGAGGAAGCAAGUGAACUGAUAGAGUGGAUAGAAGCAUGUGAAGAUGAACUACAUUCCAUCGAAAAGAAUGAGGUGUGGACCCUGGUCGAGCUUCCGGAUGGAGUAAAGCCAAUCGGUUUGAGAUGGAUCUUUAAGAUCAAACGUAACGCUGACGGGUCUAUCAAGAAGUACAAAGCUCGCCUAGUAGCAAAGGGGUAGGUACAAAAACAUGGGAUUGAUUUUGAUGAAGUGUAUGCACCAGUAGCCAGAAUCGAGACCAUCAGACUACUUGUAAGCAUUGCUGCAACAAAUGGUUGGGAGGUGCAUAAUCUGGAUGUUAAAACGGCUUUCUUACACGGAGAACUCAAGGAAACAGUUUAUGUGACCCAGCCUGAAGGCUUCGAAGUGAAAGGAAGUGAGAAAAAAGGUUUAUAAACUCAAGGAAGCGUUGUACGGUUUAAAACAGGCACCAAGGGCAUGGAACAUCAAACUAAACCUGUCAUUACUUGAUCUCAGUUUUAAAAGAUGUUCCAAAGAACCCUCUGUUUACAGAAAGACGGCGAACUCGUGUAUUCUAGUGGUGGCUGUGUACGUUGACGAUCUCUUUAUAUCCGGUGCAAGCGCUGAGAUUAUCGAAGCUUUCAAGAAGGAGAUGGCGUCAAAGUUUGACAUGAGCGACCUUGGCAAGCUGAGUUACUAUCUCGGUAUUAAAGUAUGUCAAGAUGAAGGGAUUAUAACCUUAAAUCAACAACGAUAUGCUUUGAAAAUCUUGGAGGAGAGUGGAAUGAAGAACUGCAAUAUGUCACAUACACCAAUGGAGAACGGUUUGAAGUUGGCCAAGUCGAUUGAAGAGGAAGAUGUAGAUGCGACGAGGUAUCACAAGAACGUGGGUUGUCUACGGUAUCUCCUACACACUAGGCCGGAUAUGUCGUAUACGGUGGAAUUUUUGAGCCGAUACAUGCAGAGUUCAAAGGUGUCUCAUGAGGCUGCAAUGAAGCAUUGUCUCAGAUACCUACAAGGAUCGACCAUCACUUGGACUCGUCUUUACUCGAACAACACCCAAAGUUCCAAAUCUGAUUGGCUAUAGUGAUAGUAGCCAUAAUAUUGAUAAAGACGCUGGGAGAAGCACCACAUGACAUAUCUUCUACCUUGGAGACAGCUUAAUCACUUGGUGUUCUGGUAAGCAAGAAACGGUCACGCUUUCAAGCUGUGAAGCAUAGUUCAUGGCUGGGACAGAGGCGGAAAAGCAGGCCAUUUGGAUACAAGAAGUACUUAGUGAAGUCACAGAGCAACCGGUCGAGAAGGUGGUGAUCAGAAUCGAUAAUCAGUCGGAAAUAGCCCUUACCAAGAAUCCAUUGUUCCAUGGUAGGAGCAAGCACAUACACUCAAGGUUUCACUUUAUUAGGGAGUGUGUGGAAAGAGGUCAAAUAAUCGUGGAGCAUGUUUCUGGUGAUCUACAAAAGGCUGAUAUCUUGACUACGGUUCUUGGAAGAAUCAAGUUCAAGGAGAUGAAAGAUCUGAUUGCAAUGCAAGAGGUGGUGAGAAAUGAUUUCAAGCUUAAGGGGAAGAAUGUUGGGAUAAGCGUGAAUCAAAAGAUAGUUUGAGAUGCAAGCAAAUAUCUAAUCCUAUUGUGUUUAAGGUUUAUAAUAUAUUUAGGAGUUAUCUAAGAUACAUUAUCUAAUAGGACUAGGAGUUUAUAAUCUCUAUAUAAAGAUAUGUCAAAGUGUAGCAUAACUCGUGGGAUUUAGAGAUUGAAAGCUUAAGUUUUUGAUUGAGUUUUUUUAAGCAUUAAUAAAGAGAGUUAGUCUUUAUACAAUCUUUGAAUUCUAUACUACAUGUAUUAAAAAAUUUAUUAUUUAGUUUUCUUAGUUAGAAAAUUAAAUCUGAUCUCCCAAAUAUGCUUUUAUAUGUGUUCAUUGUUUCAUGGCUUUCCUUUUUGAUUGUGCAUUCAAUAAAAUCUAUUGACGUAUAUGUUGUGCGAAGAUAUUUGCGUGCAUUGUCUACUCAUCAUAAUUGAUUUCGGGAUUGUAACAUAAAAUCAGUGUUCUCUGUGCUAUGAAACUGUAAUCAACUUGGUAUGUAGCCGGAAGUUUGAAAACAACUUAAGAGCAUGUGCAAGGGUAUGUCUCAAUUUUUUGUAUCCAACAACAUCCUCAGAUCUAUGCCAUUUGAGACAAGGCCGAAAUUCUUAAUUUGCAGAGUCAUUAGUUUUUUUUGGACAGUCAUUGAUGGUUUGUUUUAAAAGUUUGUCUUUAGUCUAUUUUAUUUUUUUAUUUAUAAUGUAUUUUCAUGAACUGAAUAAUAUUACUCUUACGUUUGGAUUUUUGAUUCAAUUUUAUUUCUACUAUUAGACUGUUCAGUUUGGUAUUAUAAUAACUCAACUAGAUCUUGAUCGGCGUCCCGCGCGGGUGUUGGAUUUAGGGUGUUGGAUUUAACUUACAUUCAAUGUAAAUUUAUAAACCAUUGAUUUUAUAAAAUAUCUAUUUAUACUUUUAUGUUUUGUAAAAUAUAUUUAGAGUAAAAUAUAUUAUAUUAUAAUAUAGAUGUUUGAUAAUAAUUUUUUAUAUGUAUGUAAUAUUAUAUUUAUAAUUUUAUAACUUGAUGCAAUUUGAUGUAAUUGUAAUAUUCAUAUAUUAAUUUAUUGAUUUUUUUGUUUAUUUAUUUAAAAAUGAUUUAAUUUUUUGCAGUAGAUUUUAUGAAUUAUUAUUAAUUUUAUGAUAUUUGGUUUUCUUGAAAAUUGUAUUGUAUCAGAUUAAUAUAUACUAUAUAUUACAGUUUGUGUUUGUAUUUUCAGCAAAAAGAAAUAAUAAUUCAUUGUAAUUAAUUUAAUUUUUUUAUUUUAUGUGAAGUGGCAGAUUUAUAAAUAAGGAAGCAAUACAACGGCUAAAUGUGUAAAUAAAAAGAAAUAUUUAAUCUACUAUCUCCAAACAAUUCUCAUUUAAUAUGUUAUCCAAGUUUCCAAACGACAGAAUCUGUAAAUGAGAAAUAAAUACAGUGACUAAAUAUGUAAAAAAAAAAUAUUUAAUCUGCUAUCCUUGUUUCCAAACAACUUUCAUUUAAUAUACUAUCUAAGUUUCCAAACAGUACCAAAAGGUACUUCAGUUUUAAUAAUAUAGCUGAUCUAAAGUUAAAACAAAGUUUAAAUUGGCUGUAAAUGUUACGAUUAUUUUAUACAAUCCCUAAAUAAAUAAGAUAAAAUGUAUUUAAAUCAUAUAUAUGUUCAGUUAAUUUUUACUCAUCUUAGUUAUCAUUCUACAUAUGAUUUGUGAGUUAAAUUAUUUUAAAUUUGUUAGACACAAGGCAAUGAAUAAAUGCAAAAAUUUAAAUUUUUAAUUUAAUAAUUUAAAAUAGAUUAAAAUAUAUAUACACAAUUUAUAUUCAAAUAUAAAUGUAAAAUUUUUAAUUUAACUAAAAAUUAUACAAAUAUCCCGGGCAAGAGUACUAUACCGAUGGACAGAAGAGGUAAAAUUGUGUACUCAUGUUUCAUUUUUUUUUUGACGUCAAAAUGCCAUUCUAUUACUCAAAAACUUGUGGUGGUCUGGGUAACCAGACCGGAAUAGAACAACCAAUAAAUGUAACUUCCUAUGGAAGGAUCUAGCAGUUUUAGCUAAAAAAAAGUCUGAAAUCUGAUUGUGCGCUCGUGGAAUGUGAGUGAUGUUGAAAUCCGGGAAGCAUAUGUAGCGUCUCUAUCCUUUCCAAUUCUGUCGCAAAGCUUGGCGAGGCAUGAGGUUCCUUUAUCAUUGCAAUCAGCUCCUUACAGUCUGUCCUAAAGCUCUGGCAUGUUGAAUGUUGAAGCAUGUUCUCCCUUUCCCAUCGCAGUGCUUCUACCUCUGAAUGCAAGGCUGAUUCUCGUCGAGUGAAAUUUCUUGUCCCCAUAAGUUGAAUGUUCUCACCACUGUCCAUCCAGACCCAUCCACAUCCACUAAAUUGAGCAGAAGCUGUCCAAGAUCCAUCUAACAAGCAAAUAUUACCCAAGCUUAUGACUUGGGGAUCCUCAGUAUUGCUAUCUUGUACUGCUGGUUGUACCACUUCGUUCGCAUCAAACCAGGCUUGACAUUCACUUUCUGCAUGUCGAACUAGCUCCAAAGCAUCUCUGUUUAUCCCCCUGAAAAAGUUUGUCAUUUGCUAGCGUUCCAAAUAUACAAGAUUAUCUAAGGAUAAAGAUCCUUGUCUCGUUCUGUCUCGAUAAUGUUGUUUUUCCUCCAGAAUAGGUAAUCCAUAUUUGUGUAGACGCUUGGUAGUGGAAAUAUAUCUGGGUUUGUUGGAGUCGAUGAUAAGGACCAAGCUUGUAGAGCUGGCGGGCAUGCAUUAAAUAUGGCAUGGGUUACAGAUUUUUCUAGUUUCUCACAUCUUGGGCAGUAGUUAUCACACCUUAUAUUGCGUCUUGUUAAGUUCCUCGUUACCGCCACAUGACCGGUUAACAAUUGCAAUAUAAGAUGACAUAUCUUCGCAGGUGCCUUAACUUCCAAGCAAAGGCUUGAAGCUUUAUGAUACUCGGUGAUAUAUGGUGUUUUAUACAUCUUGUAUAUAUGCUUUUCAAUUGGUUUUCAAGUCUUUAUCGAGUCUUCCUAGUCCUUUUCGAGUCAUUACAGGUCUGGAGUUGCAUUGGAUGGGAGAUGGACCAGCUGGAACAAAAGAGGCAGCAAACAGUGCAAUUUGGUGAUUUUCACGCAGAAUAGUCUUGAUGACUGUUCCGGAUAGCGGAGCAACCCGAGUGACUGUUCCGAGUGAGUGUUCCAGCGGCAGAGAUUUUUAAGGAAACUACAACCUAUUUCGGGAUUUGCCCUAAUCUCUCUAUUUUCUCUCCCAGCCGCCUGUGGCUUGAAUAUAUCUUCUUUUUCUGUUUUUCCUUAUCAUUCUACGCUGUUUUUGGGAGAAGAAACCAGACCUUAGAGUUGGAGACUUGUGAUUUGAUACUUUGUAAAGGGAGAAGGCUCCAUCUCUCUCACCAUAGAGAAGAACCCCCUGAACCCUUAUUCUAUUUUA